GAGUCUCUAUUGCAAGAAAUUGUUCUUGAGCUAUGACUUAAAAUUCCAAAUCAACAUGCCAUAAUUCUACUAUAACAGCAAUGCCUUUCUCUUGUCCUUUGAUAAAUUGGUUAUCUCAUUCUUAAUUCCAUUUUUUGAUUUUGUCCAUAUUUCUUGAGUAAUUCUUUGAAUCAAAUUAUCCGAUGCUAAAAAGUAGAGGUUCUCAAAAUAGUUUCCAUGCUUUGAAUUCAGCCAUGGUCUGGCCUGACUUAGACCAGCCUGUGCUAUGUAUCACCACAUGCAAAAAAUUUACUCAUGUUAUUUAUUAUGCAGAACUUAGCUUAUUAAUGCCCAAUGCUGGACAUUUGUGGUUAACCUAUGUACUGAUAGAAUUAAUUUGAUUUGUAG
rnacentral:lncRNA from 1 species